UCCUUUUAGAGAGCAAGUCUCAUUAUUGAUUUACAAGAUCAGUAUUUUGUUUUAAACUAUAAAAGG
rnacentral:tRNA from 1 species